CGGCCUAUCAGCUUGUUGGUGAGGUAAUGGCUCACCAAGGCUUCGACGGGUAGCCGGCCUGAGAGGGCGACCGGCCACACUGGGACUGAGAUACGGCCCAGACUCCUACGGGAGGCAGCAGUGGGGAAUAUUGCACAAUGGGCGGAAGCCUGAUGCAGCAACGCCGCGUGCGGGAUGACGGCCUUCGGGUUGUAAACCGCUUUCAGUGGGGACGAAGCUAACGUGACGGUACCUACAGAAGAAGCACCGGCCAACUACGUGCCAGCAGCCGCGGUGAUACGUAGGGUGCGAGCGUUGUCCGGAAUUAUUGGGCGUAAAGGGAUUGUAGGCGGUUCGUCGCGUCGAUGGUGAAAACUCAGGGCUCAACCCUGAGCCUGCUUUCGAUACGGGCGGACUAGAGGUAUGCAGGGGAGAACGGAACUCCUGGUGGAGCGGUGGAAUGCGCAGAUAUCAGGAGGAACACCGGUGGCGAAGGCGGUUCUCUGGGCAUUACCUGACGCUGAGAAUCGAAAGCGUGGGGAGCAAACAGGCUUAGAUACCCUGGUAGUCCACGCCGUAAACGGUGGGCACUAGGUGUGGGGGACAUCCCACGUUCUCCGUGCCGAAGCUAACGCAUUAAGUGCCCCGCCUGGGGAGUACGG
rnacentral:rRNA from 1 species